AAAAAAUUAAUUUUAUUAUAUUAAAAUAGUAGAUAAUUAUUUAUUAAAACUUAAUUAAUUUGGCGGUAUUUUAGUUCAUUUAGAGGAAUCUGUUUAUUAAUUGAUAUUCCACGAAUAAUUUAAUUUAAUUUAAAAUUUUAUAUAUCGUUGUAAUAAAAAUAUUUUUUAAAAUAAAUAAUAUUUAAAAAUUUAAAAUUUAAAUUAAUUCAGAUCAAGAUGUAGAUAAUAAUUAAACUUAAAAUGGAUUACAAUAUAAAAAUAUAAAUGAAUAAUAAAUUUGUAAUAAUUAUUUGAAAGUGGAUUUAAAUGUAAUUUUAAAUAAUUUUUUAAAAUGAUUAAAAAUUAAAAUAUGUACAUAUUGCCCGUCACUUUCAUUUAAAAGUUGAAAUAAGUCGUAACAAAGUAGAGGUACUGGAAAGUGUUUCUAGAAAGA
rnacentral:rRNA from 1 species